rnacentral:rRNA from 1 species
UACGUAGGGUGCGAGCGUUGUCCGGAAUUACUGGGCGUAAAGAGCUCGUAGGUGGUUUGUCGCGUUGUUCGUGAAAUCUCACGGCUUAACUGUGAGCGUGCGGGCGAUACGGGCAGACUAGAGUACUGCAGGGGAGACUGGAAUUCCUGGUGUAGCGGCGGAAUGCGCAGAUAUCAGGAGGAACACCGGUGGCGAAGGCGGGUCUCUGGGCAGUAACUGACGCUGAGGAGCGAAAGCGUGGGGAGCGAACAGG